rnacentral:rRNA from 1 species
GACGAACGCUGGCGGCGUGCUUAACACAUGCAAGUCGAACGGAAAGGCCCUGCUUUUGUGGGGUGCUCGAGUGGCGAACGGGUGAGUAACACGUGAGUAACCUGCCCUUGACUUUGGGAUAACUUCAGGAAACUGGGGCUAAUACCGGAUAGGAGCUCCUGCUGCAUGGGGGGGGUUGGAAAGUUUCGGCGGUUGGGGAUGGACUCGCGGCUUAUCAGCUUGUUGGUGGGGUAGUGGCUUACCAAGGCUUUGACGGGUAGCCGGCCUGAGAGGGUGACCGGCCACAUUGGGACUGAGAUACGGCCCAGACUCCUACGGGAGGCAGCAGUGGGGAAUAUUGCACAAUGGGCGGAAGCCUGAUGCAGCAACGCCGCGUGAGGGAUGACGGCCUUCGGGUUGUAAACCGCUUUCGCCUGUGACGAAGCGUGAGUGACGGUAAUGGGUAAAGAAGCACCGGCUAACUACGUG